UCUCUCUUCCAUGCCUUGAGUGUAGGACCGUUAGCAUCUUAAUUACCCUCCCACACCCAAGGCUUGCAGGAGAGU
rfam:Ictidomys tridecemlineatus contig099260, whole genome shotgun sequence.